rnacentral:rRNA from 1 species
UACGUAGGGGGCAAGCGUUGUCCGGAUUUAUUGGGCGUAAAGAGCGUGUAGGCGGCCUGAAAGGUCAGCUGUGAAAACUCGAGGCUCAACCUCGAGACGUCGGCGGAAACCAUCUGGCUAGAGUCCGGAAGAGGAGAGUGGAAUUCCUGGUGUAGCGGUGAAAUGCGCAGAUAUCAGGAAGAACACCCGUGGCGAAGGCGGCGCUCUGGGACGGUACUGACGCUGAGACGCGAAAGCGUGGGGAGCGAACAGG